GCGCUCGUAGCCCAACGGAUAGAGCACCUGAUUACGGAUCAGGCGGUUGGGGGUUCGAAUCCCUCCGAGCGCA
rnacentral:tRNA from 1 species